AGAGUUUGAUCCUGGCUCAGGAUGAACGCUAGCGGCAGGCUUAAUACAUGCAAGUCGAGGGGCAGCGCAGUGUAGCAAUACAUGGGCGGCGACCGGCAAACGGGUGCGGAACACGUACACAACCUUCCUUUAAGCGGGGAAUAGCCCGGGGAAACCCGGAUUAAUACCCCAUAGUACGUUGAGAGGGCAUCCUCUUGAUUUUAAAGAUUUAUCACUUAAAGAUGGGUGUGCGGCUGAUUAGGUAGUUGGCGGGGUAACGGCCCACCAAGCCUACGAUCAGUAACUGGUGUGAGAGCACGACCAGUCACACGGGCACUGAGACACGGGCCCGACUCCUACGGGAGGCAGCAGUAAGGAAUAUUGGUCAAUGGACGAAAGUCUGAACCAGCCAUGCCGCGUGGAGGAUGAAGGUCCUCUGGAUUGUAAACUUCUUUUACAUGGGACGAAAAAGGGCCUUUCUAGGUCAACUGACGGUACCAUGUGAAUAAGCACCGGCUAACUCCGUGCCAGCAGCCGCGGUAAUACGGGGGGAGCAAGCGUUGUUCGGAUUUACUGGGCGUAA
rnacentral:rRNA from 1 species